CCAGCUCCAAUAGCGUAUACUAAAGUUGUUGCAGUUAAAAAGCUCGUAGUUGAAUUUCUGACUUCGGAUGUCGGUCUGCCUCAAGGGGUAUGUACUUGUCUUGUCCGGAGUCAUCCUCGAGAUGAAGAUGUCUGUCAUUUAGUUGAUGGGCAUGGGAUUCUCGUCGUUUACUGUGAGUAAAAUAGAGUGUUCAAAGCAGACAUUAUGUCAUUGAAUACGUUAGCAUGGAAUAAUAAGAUAGGACCUUGGUCUAUUUUGUUGGUUUGACUCCAAGGUAAUGAUUAAUAGGGACAGUUGGGGGUAUUCGUAUUCAAUUGUCAGAGGUGAAAUUCUUGGAUUUAUGGAAGACGAACUACUGCGAAAGCAUUUACCAAGGAUGUUUUCA
rnacentral:rRNA from 1 species